AGAUUGAACGCUGGCGGAAUGCUUUACACAUGCAAGUCGAGCGGCAGCGCGGGGCAACCUGGCGGCGAGCGGCGAACGGGUGAGUAAUGCAUCGGAACAUGUCCAUGUCGUGGGGGAUAGCCCGGCGAAAGCCGGAUUAAUACCGCAUACGCCCGAGAGGGGAAAGUGGGGGACCGCGAAGGCCUCGACGCGAUUGGGUUGGCCGAUGUCCGAUUAGCUAGGUUGGCGGGGUAAG
rnacentral:rRNA from 1 species